AUUGUCUUAGGUGCUGCUUUAGCUCUCUUUGAUCCCAGCUGUCUUGUUCUCCCCUAGGAAAAGUCUCCUUGAAUGAUUCCUCAAUGCCAAAUGCUCAAUUUUUUCCAGAUAAUGGGUGAAAUGUACAAGGGCGGUAAAAACAAUUGUUUGAAAAUGCCUUUGACUGAUAGUUUUUAAAAAAUCUCUAGUUUACUAAAUACAAGUAUUUCUAGCUUUUAUUUUUUUCUUUUAGCUUUUUAAUUGUAUGUAUUUAAAGAGUACAACAUGAUUUAUUGUAUAUAUUUAAGGAGUACAACAUGAUUUCUAAGGGGAUUUCCAACAAACAAGUAGUUGUUCCCCCUGGAAAUAUAUGUACUUCUUUAGAACAAUGUUAAAACUGUAAUUGGAUACAGUAGGCGUGCUCUAACACAUUUUCAGAGUUAAAAUAUGGCUUAUAGUAUAUUCCAUCUACUCUUAUGGCAACUUUUAGAACACUUGAAGUCAUUUAGGAAUCAUUUAGGAAAAAAUGAAAUACUAAGCGUUUGUCUUUUGCAAUCUUCAUAGAACCUGUGAGAGGAUAGCAGAGGUCAGUACCCAGCUUACUGUGAAGAAAGAGAACAGAUAUCCAGCCACUGCUUCUCCUACAAGGCCAGUCCUCGAGUCACCUUUUGUUGGAAGUCUUAAUGACAGUGAAGCUCUCAACAGAAGACAUAUUGAAAGAAGAAGCAGAUCUUCACAUGAGAGCAUGGAGAGCUUCUUGUUGAGGUUCGGUGUUCGAGGGAUCUGUUUCUCGAGGCCAAUCCUGCUUUCAAUCAAUCUUUCAAAUCAAUCUCAGGUUUUCUGCCCCUCAUCAUAUGUGAUUGAUUGGUAUCCACACACUAACCACACGUGGAUGUUUAUUAUUUAAAAAGAUCCAAUGUGAAUACGUUUAAUACGUUGUAUAAACCUGCAACACUUGAUUAAUCUCUCUUCUUUAAGUUAAAAGUUUUGUGAGUACACCUGUAAUUGCUAUUGCUCUUACAGCAUUUUAAUCUCCAUCUUUGUAAAAUGUUUCUAUUGCUAUGCAAUUGUACAGUAAUUCUGAAAUAAACAAAUAUCUGAAUUUUUAAAGUAAA